rnacentral:rRNA from 1 species
GACGAACGCUGGCGGCGUGCUUAACACAUGCAAGUCGAACGGUGAAGCGCCUUCCUUUUUGGUGGGUGUGGAGCGGUGGCGGGCGGGUGAAUAACACGAGAGUAACCUGCCCCCUCCUUCUGGAUAACCGCAUGAAAGUGUGGCUAAUACGGGAUAUUCUGGAUCUGUCGCAUGAUGGGUCUGGGACAGAUUUUGUUUCGGUUGGGGAUGGGCUCGCGGCCUAUUAGCUGGUUGGUGGGGUGAUGGCCUACCAAGGCGGCGAUGCGUAGCCGCCCUGAUGGGAUGGUGGGCGACACUGUAAGGAAGACACGGUGCAGACGCCUACGAGAGGCAGCAGUAGGGAGUAUUAGGCCAUGGGGGGAAGAAGGAUGGAGCAGCGCCGCGGGGGGGGUGAUGGUCGUCGGCUGGUAGUGAACUUUUAUUGGGAAUGAAGCAGGGCGGCCUCGUCUGUGGGUGUGUUGACGGUAGCUGAAGAAGAAGCGCCGGCUAACUACGUG